AACGAACGCUGGCGGCAUGCCUAACACAUGCAAGUCGAACGAGACCUUCGGGCCUAGUGGCGCACGGGUGCGUAACGCGUGGGAACCUGCCCUUAGGUUCGGAAUAACUCCCCGAAAGGGGUGCUAAUACCGGAUAAUGUCUUCGGACCAAAGAUUUAUCGCCUUUGGAUGGGCCCGCGUUGGAUUAGCUAGUUGGUAGGGUAAAAGCCUACCAAGGCGACGAUCCAUAGCUGGUCUGAGAGGAUGAUCAGCCACACUGGGACUGAGACCCGGCCCAGACUCCUACGGGAGGCAGCAGUGGGGAAUAUUGGACAGUGGGCGAGAGCCUGAUCCAGCAAUGCCGCGUGAGUGAUGAAGGCCUUAGGGUUGUAAAGCUCUUUUACCCGGGAUGAUAAUGACAGUACCGGGAGAAUAAGCUCCGGCUAACUCCGUG
rnacentral:rRNA from 1 species